rnacentral:rRNA from 1 species
AUUGAACGCUGGCGGCAGGCCUAACACAUGCAAGUCGAGCGGAUGAAGGGAGCUUGCUCCUGGAUUCAGCGGCGGACGGGUGAGUAAUGCCUAGGAAUCUGCCUGGUAGUGGGGGAUAACGUCCGGAAACGGGCGCUAAUACCGCAUACGUCCUGAGGGAGAAAGUGGGGGAUCUUCGGACCUCUCGCUAUCAUAUGAGCCUAGGUCGGAUUAGCUAGUUGGUGAGGUAAAGGCCUACCAAGGCGACGAUCCGGAACUGGUCUGAGAGGAUGAUCAGGCACACUGGAACUGAGACACGGUCCAGACUCCUACGGGAGGCAGCAGUGGGGAAUAUUGAGCAAUGGGCGAAAGCCUGAUCCAGCCACGCCGCGUGUGUGAAGAAGGUCUUCGGAUUGUAAAGCACUGUUAGUGGGGAAGAAGGACAGUAUGUUAAAAGCUUGCUGUUUUGACGUUACCGACAGAAUAAGCAACGGCUAACUUCGUG